UUCCUGGAUGACGGGUCAGCAUCAGUUUUGACCGUCGGAAAAAGGCUUAGGGAAUGUGGCAUCUCCGGAUGUGUUAUAGCCCUUUGUCGUAUACGGCGGUUGGGACUGAGGAACUCAGCACGCCGCAAGGCCGGGUUUUUAACCACGUUCGUGCUUAGGAUGUUGGCAUAAUGGCUUUAAGCGACCCGUCUUGAAACACGGACCAAGGAGUCUAACAUGCUUGCGAGUGUUUGAGUGGAAAACUCGAGCGCGUAAUGAAAGUGAAAGUUGGGAUCUC
rnacentral:ncRNA from 1 species